AAAGAACCCAACAGGGAUUGCCCUAGUAACGGCGAGUGAAGCGGCAACAGCUCAAAUUUGAAAUCUGAUCUCUUCGAGGUCCGAGUUGUAAUUUGUAGAGGGUGCUUUGGUGUUGGCUGCGGUCUAAGUUCCUUGGAACAGGACGUCAUAGAGGGUGAGAAUCCCGUCUGUGGUCGCAUGUCUUCACCGUGUAAAGCCCCUUCGACGAGUCGAGUUGUUUGGGAAUGCAGCUCUAAAUGGGAGGUAAAUUUCUUCUAAAGCUAAAUACUGGCCAGAGACCGAUAGCGCACAAGUAGAGUGAUCGAAAGAUGAAAAGCACUUUGGAAAGAGAGUCAAACAGCACGUGAAAUUGUUGAAAGGGAAGCGCUUGCAGCCAGACUUGCUUGCAGUUGCUCAUCCGGGCGUUCGCCCGGUGCACUCUUCUGUAGGCAGGCCAGCAUCAGUUUGGGCGGUUGGAUAAAGGCCUCUGUCAUGUAUCUUCUCCGGAAGACCUUAUAGGGGAGGCGUAAUGCAACCAGCCUGGACUGAGGUCCGCGCAUCUGCUAGGAUGCUGGCGUAAUGGCUGUAAGCGGCCCGUCUUGAAACACGGACCAAGGAGUCUAACAUCUAUGCGAGUGUUUGGGUGUCAAGCCCGAGCGCGUAAUGAAAGUGAACGGAGGUGGGAACCCUUGGGUGCACCAUCGACCGAUCCUGAUGUCUUCGGAUGGAUUUGAGUAAGAGCAUAGCUGUUGGGACCCGAAAGAUGGUGAACUAUGCUUGAAUAGGGUGAAGCCAGAGGAAACUCUGGUGGAGGCUCGCAGCGGUUCUGACGUGCAAAUCGAUCGUCAAAUUUGGGCAUAGGGGCGAAAGACUAAUCGAACUAUCUA
rnacentral:rRNA from 1 species